rnacentral:rRNA from 1 species
GACGAACGCUGGCGGCGUGCUUAACACAUGCAAGUCGAACGGAAAGGCCCCCUUGUGGGGUACUCGAGUGGCGAACGGGUGAGUAACACGUGAGUAACCUACCCUUGACUUUGGGAUAACUUCAGGAAACUGGGGCUAAUACCGGAUAGGAGCUCCUGCUGCAUGGUGGGGGUUGGAAAGUUUCGGCGGUUGGGGAUGGGCUCGCGGCUUAUCAGCUUGUUGGUGGGGUAGUGGCUCACCAAGGCUUUGACGGGUAGCCGGCCUGAGAGGGUGACCGGCCACAUUGGGACUGAGAUACGGCCCAGACUCCUACGGGAGGCAGCAGUGGGGAAUAUUGCACAAUGGGCGGAAGCCUGGUGCAGCAACGCCGCGUGCGGGAUGACGGCCUUCGGGUUGUAAGCCGCUUUCGCCUGUGACGAAGCGUGAGUGACGGUAAUGGGUAAAGAAGCACCGGCUAACUACGUG